rnacentral:sRNA from 1 species
UCCACGAAACCCACGGUACCGCACAGUGC